rnacentral:rRNA from 1 species
CCUACGGGUGGCUGCAGUGAGGAAUAUUGGUCAAUGGGCGAGAGCCUGAACCAGCCAAGUCGCGUGAGGGAGUACUGCCCUAUGGGUUGUAAACCUCUUUUGUCGGGGAGCAAAAGCCUGACGUGUCCGGCUGUGAGAGUACCCGAAGAAAAAGCAUCGGCUACCUCCGUUCCAGCAGCCGCGGUAAUAAGGAGGAUGCGGGCGUUAUCCGUAUUUAUUGGGUUUAAAGGUUGCGUAGGUUGUUUUUUAAGUCAGCGGUGAAAGUUUGUGGCUCAACCAUCAAAUUUCCGUUGAAACUGGAAGAAUUGAGUGUGUUUGAGGUAGGCGGAAUGCGUGGGGUAGCGGUGAAAUGCAUAGAUAUCACGCAGAACUCCGAUUGCGAAGGCAGCUUACUAAGCCAUAACUGACACUGAAGCACGAAAGCGUGGGGAUCAAACAGGAUUAGAUACCCGGGUAGUC